AGUGAACGCUGGCGGUAGGCCUAACACAUGCAAGUCGAACGGCAGCACAGUAAGAGCUUGCUCUUACGGGUGGCGAGUGGCGGACGGGUGAGGAAUACAUCGGAAUCUACUUUUUCGUGGGGGAUAACGUAGGGAAACUUACGCUAAUACCGCAUACGAUCUACGGGUGAAAGCAGGGGAUCUUCGGACCUUGCGCGAUUGAAUGAGCCGCUGUCGGAUUAGCUAGUUGGCGGGGUAAAGGCCCACCAAGGCGGCGAUCCGUAGCCGGUCUGAGAGGAUGGUCAGCCACCAGAGAACUUAGACACGGUCCAUGCGCCUACGGGAGGGAGCAGUGGGGAAUAUUAGACAAUGGGGGCAAACCUUGUCCAGCCAUACCGAAUGGGUUAAGAAGGCCUUCGGGGUGGAAAGCCCUUUUGUUGGGAAAGAAAAGCAGCAGGUUAAUACCCCGCUGUUCUGACGGUACCCAAAGAAUAAGCACCGGCUAACUUCGUG
rnacentral:rRNA from 1 species